rnacentral:rRNA from 1 species
AUUCCCUUAAAAGGGAGGAAAAUUUUGGUUUUGGAUUUAGGUUUUUUUGGGGGGGGAAAAAGGCCCUUCCCAAAGGGUUCCGAUCCAGAAAGUUGGUUUGGGAGGGUGAAUCAACCCACAUGGGGCUGGAGAUACGGGCCCAGAUUCUUACCGGGAGGCAGCAGUGGGGAAUUUUGCGCAAUGGGCGAAAGCCCUGACGCAGCAACGCCGCGGUGAUCGAAGAGCUUCUGCGGAGUGUUAAAGAUCUGUCAUAAGGGAAGAAAUAACGAGUAUUCUAACAAAAUACUCGUCUGACCGUACNUUAUAAGAAAGCCCCCGGCUACUUUCGUGCCAGCAGCCGCCGUAAUACGAGGGGGGCAAGCGUUAUCCNGGAUCAUUGGGCGUAAAGGGUUCGUAGGCGGACUGAUCAGUUGGAAUUGAAAGACCACGGCUUAACCGAGGGAACGGUUUCAAUACUGUCAGUCUUGAGUGAGGUAGAGGUAAGCGGAAUUCCUGGUGUAGCGGUGAAAUGCGUAGAUAUCAGGAGGAACAUCAAAGGCGAAGGCAGCUUACUGGGCCUAUACUGACGCUGAGGAACGAAAGCGUGGGGAGCAAACAGGAUUAGAGACCCUGGUAGUCCACGCCGUAAACGAUGAGUACUUAGUGAUGGGGGAUUCGACCCCUUCAUUGCUGGAGCUAACGCAUUAAGUACUCCGCCUGGGAACUACGACCGCAAGGUUGAAACUCAAAGGAAUUGACGGGGACCCGCACAAGCGGUGGAUCAUGUGGUUUAAUUCGAUGCAACGCGAAGAACCUUACCUAGGCUUGACAUGUUAGUGAAAGCUCUGUGAAAGCAGAGCCGUCUGCGAGCUUGCUCAAAGACACUAUCACAGGUGAUGCAUGGCUGUCGUCAGCUCGUGUCGUGAGAUGUUCGGUUAAGUCCGAUAACGAGCGCAACCCCUAUUCUUAGUUGCCAGCACGUAAUGGUGGGGACUCUAAGAAAACUGCCCGGGAUAACCGGAAGGAAGGUGGGGUCGACGUCAAGUCAGUAUGUCCCUUACGCCUAGGGCUACACACGUGAUACAAUGGAGGGUACAAAGGGUUGCAAUGCCGCGAGGUGGAGCCAAUCCCAAAAAACCUUCCCAAGUUCAGAUUGCAGUCUGCAACUCGACUGCAUGAAGCAGGAAUCGCUAGUAAUCGUGAUCAGAACGCCAUUGUAUUCGCCCC